UUUAAUAAUCAUUUUACCUUCUUUUCCUGCCAAAUUUUCAAAUAUGUUAUUUAAGGAGAGUCCUUCCUCUAAAAUACCAUUUUUCUUUAGUAUAUCAAUUUUGCCUGGACUUUGCAGUUUAGAAGUUUCUUCAUUUUGUUUAUUUUCUCGUCUGAUUCAGGCACUUUGAGGCAGUUGAGGCCAGGUUUCUUCGUGCAUCAUUUUCUGCUUUUGUAGAUGUGCUUACGCUCGCGACAAAAACAAUCGAACAGUUUGGUCAAGGAAUGGAAUUAUAACAUUGUACUGUCUUUGGCAGUUGGUGAAUCAUUCUGAGUAGGAACUGUAUUACUUUAAUAUGCCUUCUUGUUUUGGAUUAGUUGACGUUUUUGUAACAAGAGAAUCUAUAGUGUUAGUUUUACAAUUUAAAUCUUAAAAUAUGGGAAAGCUGUAACAAAUUCUUCAAAGCUGUGAAUUAUAUUUUGAAAGAAUUAGCAAGGCUGACAAUUAGCAACAAUUUUCUGCAUACAUUUUAUCUUGGGCAGAAUCCUCAAAAGUAGAUGCAUCUUUAAAUCUAGAAUAAAAGCAGGUUUGACUUGUAUUAUAAGAAAUUCAAAUGGGGUGUCACGGCUGCUUCCAUCACUAGGAAAACUUGCUUAGAAAAUAUGGAGAUUGCUGAAUGCUUUGGCAAUUCUUGAUGGCAUCAAAAUGGUAGUUGAUUCUGGACUGCACCCACCACUAACUGUUGAAUCUGACUAUUUUAAUGCAGUGAAAUCAAUCUUAAAGAAGAGAGGAAUGCUCAGUUAUGUAACAAAAGGGAAACAACUUAUAGUCGCAAUACACUCAUCAAUAAUCUCAGGAACCUCUGAUUAUUGAAUUACAAUUUUUUAAAAUCCAUUCCAGAAUACAAGCAUACCUGUCCAAGCAAGAUACUCGAUGCUCUACAUCCGAAACUUCAUCAACCUUUGCAUCUAAGAGAUCAUUAACCUUACAAGUCACAGACCCAAAUGGUCCACAGUAUUGACAGAGCUUUGAUGGCAUAAUCUUUCAAUGUUUCCACCACUCUGCAUAAAUGUGAAGAUGGUUUAUUUUCUCAAUAGAAAAUUGAAAUUAUCAGCUGUAAUUAGAGCAACUCACAUUUGUUUUUUGGUCAUCACUGGUGUCAACUCACAUUUGUUUUUGGUCAUCACUGGUGUACCAUAGUUCAAGAUUUUCGGCCUCUGAGUAUAACACUGUUCUCAGGUUUUUCAAAUCCUGAAAGUUGCUUGAGUUAAAAAAAGACCAAAGUAAAUAUUUCCAUAAGAACUCAAAUCUAUUACAAAUUGGUGCUUUUGUAUUUCCAUAAAUGGCUAUCUACUCCAAGGCUUGUGGAAAACUGAGUAAAAUUUGGAAAUUGACACACGAUCCCCCGUUUGAAUCAUAUAAACAAGUAUCGCAUGAUUAAACAAGAAUUGGCUUUGAAGGCAUAUGCCCCUAUUUGCCACAAUAAUUUUUUUUCUCUUUUUCUUUUCUUAAAAGUGAAUGCCGAGGUGGGUGCAACUUUUAGUAAUAGCUAUUAGUAGCACAAAACAAAGAUUGCACGCUGUAAAACAACUGUAAUAGGGAAACUCGUAUAGGCAUCUAAUCCAGCAGAUUAAAACAAAAUAGAGAAACAGUAGUACCUUGAGACUAUCAGAGAACAGCAAGCUCUGCUGCCUUACGCUCGCGACAAAAACAAUCGAACAGUUUGGUCAAGGAAUGGAAUUAUAACAUUGUACUGUCUUUGGCAGUUGGUGAAUCAUUCUGAGUAGGAACUGUAUUACUUUAAUAUGCCUUCUUGUUUUGGAUUAGUUGACGUUUUUGUA
rnacentral:lncRNA from 1 species